AGAAGAAACAUCUUCCCCCAAGAGGAAACACCGGUUAGCUGGCUCUGAGCAAAACAAACAAAAAUGGAUUCAGGGAACCAUCCUGACACCCCGAAUUCAACCAGGUGUGCUGGGAAGAAGACAUGCCGACUGCAGCCUACACAUGGCGCAACUCAAGUGCCUACACCCAGACCAGGCUGUCCAAACUGCUCAGGAGAGCAGGCCCAGACUGCCCCGGCCUGCUCAGGGGUGCCAGGCCAACGGACCUGCCAUGGCGGGGCCUCUUGCCAGAAUCUCCAGCAGCAGCAGAAGUAAAUCCACAGCUGAGAAACAUCAACGUAACGAUUUCCUGCUGGCUCUGUGAACAUUAAAAAUAUCUUUACCUGC